rnacentral:misc_RNA from 1 species
CUGAAUUGUCAACAAGAGUUGUUGCUGGUCCCCAAAUGGGGGCAUGUGCACACUCUGUUAACACAUCCACUCACACCCUGUGCACCCUCUGUAGUUCUACGGUUGGGGGGACCUGUCCUCUCCUGCUGUGGUUCUGCGUCUUUACACACACACCGUAACAAAGUCUUGUGGAAUGUGCACCGCGUUUAACGCAAUACAAUA